rnacentral:lncRNA from 1 species
AAGCUUUUUUAAAAUAGGGAACUGCUGUUUUUGUACAUGGCUAAUUUCAAGUUUCUACCAUAAUGAACGACAAGUUAAAUUCUACAAAGCCUUAAUACCGAAUUUACUUAAAAAGUGAAAAAACCCCAUAAAAUUGGUUUGGGGUCAACCUAAGCAGGAUGAUCUUAAUAAUUCUAGCACUAAAAUGAUCCUCAGUGCAUUCCUUUCCUAGCAGAGAAAUCCGAGGCUUAGCCACCAUUCAGUUCAUGUUGUUCCAUUGCUUGAGGCCAGGAACCCAUUUUGGGCAUUUGGGGCUGAAGUAGCUAGACACCACUCUCGAAUUCAGAAGCUCAACAAUGGGUGCAAAUUUGACGCAUCGGGGUGUCUUGUACUGAUUUAUUGAAGCACCUAAGCUAAUGGCAUAGUCCAUGAGCUUGUCAAAAGUCCCAUUUUCCACAAUCUUGAUUUCCAGUGGGCCAAUGGAUUUGUCCGAUGCACGACCCUGGCGGUAAACGCUGUUAAGGGACUCCUCAAUAGUGAGGCAACAAUCUUCAAAAACUGAUGGAGGAACUGGGGUUGAGCCAUUCACAUUCAGCUCCCAGAAUAGGACAUAGUGCCCUGGAAUUGUGGUUGUAUCAGCGUAGCUAGUGUACUCAAUCACAUGUGCAUCAAAUGGCAUCAAAUGGCUCACUGCAUUUUUGACCGCAUUUUGUAGCUCUACCUCAUCUGUCUUGUCUGCAUCAAUGCUUAACACCACAUUUUUCCGGCAGAUAAAGUUGAAUUGAGGAGCGUUGUUCUUAAAUCCAGCAACCCGAAGCACAUCACCCACCCUAUACCUGUAGAGUCCUGAAAUGGAUCAAAAAAGGCCAUUAGCAAACAUGUCUUAAUAAAUAGCCAAGAAAAACAUAAUAGUAUUUCAUUUUUAAUUGAUACAAGUAUUUGAAAUUUACCAGCAUAUGUGGUGACAACAAGUUCAUACUCCUGGCCAAUCUUGACAUCAACUAAAUCCACCAAUUCUUGCUGCUCUUUCUCAUUUAGUGAUUUAGGCAUGGAGAUUGAAUUAGUGACACCAUUAUUUCUGUGAACAGGCAAGAACUCAAAAUAACCCAUGGUGGGAAUAAGUGUGUAAGCAACUUCACUGGGCUUGCAAAGGGGAUUAAGGUUGACACCAAAGUAGCAUUCCGAGGAAGCAUACAUGGUGCAGACAAGAGGGAGGCCAUUGCUAUAGUAAUCGAGAGUGGGUAUAUACUGUGACAUGGUUCCAGUCACAAUAACAUCAAUAUAUUUAGUAUUAGGCCACAACCUAGUGAUAAUCCCUUGCCAUGAUUUUUUGCUGCAUUCAACCUCAAUAAAAUCAGCUAACUUAUUAUCAGGUUUCAGGAUUUUCAUCACUGCCUCUCUCACUGAAGGAUCAGUAAUUUGGGAGUUAAUGGUUCCAGUUCUAAUAUCGUGACAAAGAAGAGACCAGUGCUUUUCCAAGAAACGGAUAGCACGGAUAAAGCCUGAGGCAAAGACUGCCCCAACACGGAGGACUUCUUUGUUUUGGCAGAGGCCACAAAGCAUUUGAGAAUACAUACUUUGGUAAGAAUCUGAGCAGAGAAUCGUUUCAUUUGGGCUGGUAUAGUUUGUGUAAGGGUCAGGACGCCUGUUCUUGAAAUGGGGGCUCUUAUAAUAACUUGUUAAUACAGGACGAGCUGGUAAUCCCCCUGGUGU